ensembl:lncRNA
CAGAGGAAGAAAUUAUAAAGAAGCCAUUAGAGUGAAGCAAAACAAAGGAGGGAUUGUAGUGCGACUGAGUGAGUCCACUGACUGAGAGGAGGAGAAACCUUUUCCUAGCUGAUCUGCCAGCACACUGGAGGUGCUGAGUGCAAGUGAAGAGCUUGUGGCUCGGAGCGAAUGAUCAAAAAGAAGCCCCGGCUUUCUGAGAAAAUUAUACAUGGCUGUGUGCAUGCCCCCUGCUGAGACUCAUUCAGGGUCGCUGGGGGCUGGAGCCUAUCCUGGAGCUGAGCAAGGGAUACUGCAAAUCUUGGUAUCAAAUCGAUACAAGCAAAAUAUAGGGCCAGUGUUGGCGAUAUCAACACCGAUACUGAUAUAUGAGAUCUGGAAUGUAAAUUUGUCUGACUCAGCUUCUGUUGUGUAAAUGUGCUGGAGGCUAUAAAUAAAAUAGAAAUGACAGUCAAAAUGUUUGAGGUGUUGAUCAUAUCGCGUUAGUAUCAAUCCGAUACCAAUACCAGCCUUGAUAUUGAUCUGCUAUUUCAAUCCACUUAAGCAGUGUUAUUCUGGGGUUUCUGCUGAAAGGGGUGGCUUGGCAGCACAUGUGAGUGUAUCAGCAGUAACGAAGCUAAUUUAGAUAAAACUAUAAUGUUAGAAAAAUAUGAUGAGGUUACACAUAACGCUGAGUGAAAGUAACACAGCUGCUGCAGAUAAAUCAGCCGUGUGAGAUGCGCUGAUCAAUAUUUUAGUGUUAAAGCACUGUAUGACUGUGUGUGCGCUUUAAACAUUCUGCUUAGUCAGACUAGAAGUCUGAUUUGAAGGCAGGAAGGAAGGCUGGCAAAGAUGCUAACUGCCUCGCUCAUCAAUAUCACAGCUUUAUUUAGACAUGGGAUGAUCUGAUAGGCUAUAACGGAGUAUUCCACUAAAUUGCUGUUCAAUAUUUGCAUUAGACAGUUUAGCUUAUUAUUAUUAUUUUAGCUGCAGCCCAGAUGGUGUUUCAUGGUCUGAGAGCAAGUACAGAAUAAAUACAAAAAUAGAAUUUAAAGUUUAACCUACAUGUGAGUACAAAUGAGUGUCCCAGAUUUUAUAUCAAUGUGUACAGAACAACAAACCUGUUGUAAAAUUGUUUGCAUCCAAAAUAUAAAUAAACAUGUAAAGUUGUGUCUAAGAAUCUGUAUUUAUUGCUGCUGCUCAUUCGAGAAACCCAUUCCUGCUUUGGAAGAUCGUCAGUCAGUCACAGGACUAACAUUCAUGCCUACGGCCCCCUAACCCCACACAUGUCUUUGGAGUAUGGGAGAACCCACGCAGACACUGGGAGAGCAUGCACGCUCCACAGACAGAAGUAGAACCCAGACAGAUGACUGUUCUGACAGUUCAGUUAUUUCCUGUGUUAUUUUGAAAAGUUACCAUGUGGACUUCUAAUGUCUGGGUGCGUUACGUAUGCAUGUGUGUGUGUGUGUGUGUGUGUGUGUGUGUGUGUGUGUGUGUGUGUGUGUGU